CUACGGGGUGCUCCAGCUAAGAAUCUUCCGCAAUGGGGGGAACCCUGACGGAGCGACGCCGCGUGGACGAAGAAGGCCUAACGGUUGUAAAGUCCUUUUCUUGUGGAGGAAUAAUGAGUGUAGGGAAUGACACUCAGAUGACGUUAAACUUGGAAUAAGCCCCGGCUAAUUACGUGCCAGCAGCCGCGGUAACACGUAAGGGGCAAGCGUUGUUCGGAGUCAUUGGGCGUAAAGGGCAUGUAGGCGGCAUGGCAAGUUUGGGGUGAAAUAUCCCGGCUCAACCGGGAAGGCGCGCUGAAAACUGACAAGCUAGAGUAUAGGAAGGGAAGCUAGAAUUCCUAGUGUAGGGGUGAAAUCUGUAGAUAUUAGGAAGAAUACCGGUGGCGAAGGCGAGCUUCUGGCCAUAUACUGACGCUGAUAUGCGAAAGCGUGGGGAGCGAACAGGAUUAGAUACCCUCGUAGUC
rnacentral:rRNA from 1 species